rfam:Picea glauca, whole genome shotgun sequence.
UAUUAUGUACAUGCCUACAAUGUUAAUGCAGUGGAUCCCAUUAGAACUUCGUAGUUAAACGCACUUGGGAUAGAGUAGUACUGGGAUGGGUGACCUCCUGGGAAGUCCAAGUGUUUUAGAUGC